rnacentral:misc_RNA from 1 species
GCCCAAACAGGUACGGUGGCUUUCUCAUUAAUCCACCCACAUACCUCCUCCAGCAGUGCGCAGUCUUGCCCAACUGCUGCACCCAUCUUCCUCUCCGGCAUGCCAUGAGGACAUGAGAAAUUGAUUUCAAGUGCAUCCACUCCAGUUGCCUCGACUCGCUCAAUAAGCUCCUCCCAUGCAGCUUUAUUGUAUUCCUCCAUAACUGAAGCAAUAAGAAUCCUCUUCGGAUACUCUUCCUUCAACUGCCUAAACUCAUUUAACAUAGUCUCAAGAGGUCGAUCACUAAUGAGUUCUAUAUUUUGCCAUCCAAUUAUCGGCCCUUUUGCCGUGCCGUUCGACCCCGCACGAAGCCGAGCAUAUCGAGGUGUUACAUUCACAACUUUCGACGCAUCCAAUGAUACCGUUUUGGCGAUCACGGCUCCCCACCCCUCGUCGAAGGCUCGCUUCAUUACUGUGUAGUUGGUGCCCGGGGGGCCGGAUCCGAUCACGAAGGGGUUCGGCAUCUCCAGCCCGUUCACCCUCACCGUCAGAUCCGGCUCCGCCGUGCCACCGCCCGCCGACGCCCAGACCUUGAGCGGCGCUGCACGCGGCCGGCAAUCCAGCCGGCGGGGUCGAGGAAGAUCCAGGAAGGAGCUAGAGCUGGAGCAGUAGCUGAGAGAGGACGCCAUCGCUGCUGCUUAAGCGCGAGGAUGAG